rnacentral:rRNA from 1 species
GGCGCACCUGUCUUAGUUACUAACAGUUAGGCUGAGCACUCUAGAGAGACUGCCGGUGAUAAACCGGAGGAAGGUGGGGAUGACGUCAAGUCAUCAUGGCCCUUAUGGGCAGGGCUACACACGUGCUACAAUGGGCGGUACAAAGGGUUGCCAACCCGGAGGGGGAGCUAAUCCCACAAAGCCGUUCGUAGUNGCAGUCUGCAACUCGACUGCAUGAAGUCGGAAUCGCUAGUAAUCGCAGAUCAGCAGUGCUG